UAUGACGACUCAAUAUAGAGGUUCUGUGGAUCUGCAAAAUGUCUUAGCAUAGUGUGAAACUAAAUAUAUGGAUUCAGCAAAGAGUUGUUACCACUAAACCAAAAGUUAUCAAUUAUUCCAUCUGUUUCAUUGGAAGCUACCUUAUUCUUAAAGUAGUGAAGUAAACUCCAGCUUUGCAAGCUAUUGUGUAUUUAAUUUAGUAGAAAAUUCUAUAAUGGACUUAAUAUUAUAAUGAGUAGGACCGUAGGAUACUAAUCUAUUGAACCUAUGGACUAAUUAUCAUUGGACACAUAUAAUAUGGGUAGGGCUAAAUAAAAGGUAUAAAAUCCAAUUUUCGAGCUGCAGUGGUGCCAUAUCUGGUGCUUGUUUCUCUCUUGAAUUCUUUGAAUCAUCUCUAUUACUAUGGCAGACUGAUGAAUCUGGAAUUGGAUGUCUUCUUUAUUUGAUGGAUGUAAUUGCGAACUUGGCCAAAUUUGAGCUUCAGUGGUCUCCAUUGAAGGAACAUGGCGAAGAAGAAUAACAAGAGGAGAAAAAUGAAAAUAAAAAAUGAAAUCAGAUUUAACGGAUGGAGGGUAAAUAGGACCAAAAAAUAGAGUACAAGGGCAAAUAUGGCUCCAAACUUGGAUGACAAGGACGAAUAUAUCAAAAAAAGUAUAAUGAGGACAAAUGUAGCUUAUUCUUGAGAGUACAAGGGCAAGUCUGACCCUUUUCCCUUCUGUUGAAAUAUAGUUAAGAGAAAAGGGUCAAAAGUGCCCCUCUACGUUGGGAAAAGGGCUAAGUAUAUAAGGAACGAUGAAUUAGCUCAUUCGAUAUUGUUGCUAAAGUCGUCUAUUUGACUUCCAACCAGAUGUGAUAUUGCCUUCUUAGUAAAAUGGAAAAGGCAUAUCCUAUUUCCACUUCUAAUGGAAGCCAUCGACCCCUGUUAUACUGCGUUAAAUUUACAACUUCAGGUUGCUAAA